rnacentral:other from 1 species
UACGACCCAAAAGGAAUUAUUAUUUCCAACACUUUGAUAUAGGGAAUCGAGAUUUUGAUUGUCUGAGUGAAAGCCUAGCAUGACUGGGAAUCCUAGAAGGCAAGCUAUCGAUGCCCACCUGCACAUAACAGGGAAUAUAUCAACCCUUUUGGGUGUUA